rfam:Glycine soja cultivar W05 scaffold1718_3, whole genome shotgun sequence.
UCGCUACUCAACUGCUAUUUUCCUUUUUGAACCUUGUUACCUUGAGCAUCUUGAUCAAUUGUUUAGAAAGGGAAAUAGCAGUUGAGUAGUGC